rnacentral:rRNA from 1 species
GACGAACGCUGGCGGCGUGCUUAACACAUGCAAGUCCAACGGAAAGGCCCUGCUUUUGUGGGGUGCUCGAGUGGCGAACGGGUGAGUAACACGUGAGUAACCUGCCCUUGACUUUGGGAUAACUUCAGGAAACUGGGGCUAAUACCGGAUAGGAGCUCCUGCUGCAUGGUGGGGGUUGGAAAGUUUCGGCGGUUGGGGAUGGACUCGCGGCUUAUCGGCUUGUUGGUGGGGUAGUGGCUUACCAAGGCUUUGACGGGUAGCCGGCCUGAGAGGGUGACCGGCCACAUUGGGACUGAGAUACGGCCCAGACUCCUACGGGAGGCAGCAGUGGGGAAUAUUGCACAAUGGGCGGAAGCCUGAUGCAGCAACGCCGCGUGCGGGAUGACGGCCUUCGGGUUGUAAACCGCUUUCGCCUGUGACGAAGCGUGAGUGACGGUAAUGGGUAAAGAAGCACCGGCUAACUACGUG